GACGAACGCUGGCGGCGUGCUUAACACAUGCAAGUCGAACGGAAAGGCCCUUUUGGGGGUGCUCGAGUGGCGCGCGGGUGGGUAACACGUGAGUAACCUGCCUGUGACUUAGGGUUAAAUUCCGGCAACUGGGGCUAAUACAGGCUAGGAAUCCUUGCUGCCUGGAGGGGGUUGGAAAGAUUCGGGGGGGUUGGGUGGACUCGCGGCCUAUCCGCCUGUUGGUGGGGUGGUGGCUUACCAAGGAUUUGACGGGGAGGCGGCCUGAGAGGGCGACCGGCCACAUUUGGGCUGAGGUACGGCCCAGACGCCUACGGGGGGCAACAGGUGGGAAUAUUGGACAAUGGGCGGGAGCCUGGAGCAGGAACGCCGCGUGCGGGAAGACGGCCUUCGGGUUGUAAACCGCUUUCAGCAGGGGCGAAGCUUGUAGUGACGGUACCUGCAGAAGAAGCACCGGCUAACUACGUG
rnacentral:rRNA from 1 species